CGGGUCAAUGCUUCAGGACAGCUGAUGGCCACACGCCAGAUCCAGACAGCAAUGAAUACCUUUGUCUUGGCAAGCCUGAAAGGUAAGAAGCUUGAAGAUGACGGCAAGGAACAGAAGAAUCCCUAGGAGGUAUUUGGAUGAAGGAGAAACGGCCUGGAAGACUAGGGCAAUCCAAGCCCAAAAGAGGAUCAGAAGGAUGGAGAAAGCCAGGAAGGAGCAGCAAACAGUCCAAGGAGAGGUGAUAUCUGGCGGAGGCACAGUGAAUGUUGGUGCUAUGGCGGUGGUACAGAGCAAAGAAAAGGAGGCAGGC